GACGGGUGAGUAAUGUCUGGGAAACUGCCUGAUGGAGGGGGGAUAACUACUGGAAACGGUAGCUAAUACCGCAUAACGUCGCAAGACCAAAGAGGGGGACCUUCGGGCCUCUUGCCAUCAGAUGUGCCCAGAUGGGAUUAGCUAGUAAGUGGGGUAACGGCUCACCUAGGCGACGAUCCCUAGCUGGUCUGAGAGGAUGACCAGCCACACUGGAACUGAGACACGGUCCAGACUCCUACGGGAGGCAGCAUG
rnacentral:rRNA from 1 species